rnacentral:lncRNA from 1 species
UCGUGAGGACCACAAAUCCACUAAAGUGGUAAAGUGGGGCCCGAAUAAACUUUGGGCUACAUUGUGGGCUAUCAUGGAGAUCAAGUUACCUUCUCCAUGCCGCUUGUCUCAGCCUAAGCAAAGAUCCCUUCCCCGCACAUCCAGGCACGCAUCUUUAAACAUCGAUAGACUCGCAGGUGAGAGCCUGAGGCUGUGACCGGGAUCCCCCCACCUAAGAAAAGACCGGAUCAAUCUCAAGCACAACACAAGCUCGAAGAAAGCGAGCAGAAGCAUCCUUCUCCC